GAUGAACGCUGGCGGCGUGCCUAAUACAUGCAAGUCGAGCGAAGCGUGGACGGGUGAGUAACACGUGGAUAACCUCCUAUUAGACUGGGAUAACUUCGUGACACCGGAGCUCUACCGGAUACUUAUAGAUUGAUCCGCGCUGCAUUCUCUAGUUGGUAAGGUAACGGCGUACAAAGGCAACGAUGCAUAGACGACCGGGGAGAGUGAUGUGCCACACGGGAAUGGGGAACCGGGCAAGAUCCCUAGGGAAGGCAGAAGGAGGGAAUCUUCCGCAAGGGGCGAAGGCCUGACGGAGAAACGCCGCGUGAGUGAUGAAGGUUUUCGGAUGGUAAAACUCUGUUAUUAGGGAAGCGGUACCUAAUCAGAAAGCCACGGCUAACUACGUGCCAGCAGCCGCGGUAAUUC
rnacentral:rRNA from 1 species